AAUAGAUACCCUGGUAGUCCACGCCCUAAACGAUGUGUGCUAGUUGUCGGGCCCUUUAGGGUUCGGUGACGCAGCUAACGCUUUAAGCACACCGCCUGGGGAGUACGGCCGCAAGAUUAAAACUCAAAGGAAUUGACGGGGACCCGCACAAGCGGUGGAGCAUGUUCUUUAAUUCGAAGCAACGCGAAGAACCUUACCUACACUUGACAUACCUCUUGGGACUUUUCAGAGAUGAUUGUUUUUCGGUUCGGCCGGGGAGGAUACAGGUGCUGCAUGGCUGUCGUCAGCUCGUGUCGUGAGAUGUUGGGUUAAGUCCCGCAACGAGCGCAACCCUUAUCGUAUGUUGCCAGCAUUUAGUUGGGUACUCAUGCGAGACUGCCGGUGAUAAGCCGGAGGAAGGCGGGGACGACGUCAAGUCAUCAUGGCCCUUACGUGUAGGGCUAGAAACGUGCUACAAUGGUGGUCACAAUGGGCAGCGAAGUCGUGAGGCUAAGCUAAUCCAAAAAGCCAUCUCAGUUCAGAUUGUAGUCUGCAA
rnacentral:rRNA from 1 species